GACGAACGCUGGCGGCGUGCUUAACACAUGCAAGUCGAACGCUGAAGCUCAGCUUUUGUUGGGUGGAUGAGUGGCGAACGGGUGAGUAACACGUGAGUAACCUGCCUCCUUCUUUGGGAUAACGCCCGGAAACGGGUGCUAAUACUGGAUAUUCACUGGUCUUCGCAUGGGGGUUGGUGGAAAGGGUUUUUCUGGUGGGGGAUGGGCUCGCGGCCUAUCAGCUUGUUGGUGGGGUGAUGGCCUACCAAGGCUUUGACGGGUAGCCGGCCUGGGAGGGUGACCGGUCACAUUGGGACUGAGAUACGGCCCAGACUCCUACGGGGGGCAGCAGUGGGGAAUAUUGCACAAUGGGCGCAAGCCUGAUGCGGCGACGCCGCGUGAGGGAUGGAGGCCGUCGGGUUGGGAACCUCUUUCGCUCAUGGUCAAGCCGCAACAAUGGUUGUGGUGAGGGUAGUGGGUAAAGAAGCGCCGGCUAACUACGUG
rnacentral:rRNA from 1 species